UACGUAGGGCGCAAGCGUUAUCCGGAAUUAUUGGGCGUAAAGAGCUCGUAGGCGGUUUGUCGCGUCUGCCGUGAAAGUCCGGGGCUCAACUCCGGAUCUGCGGUGGGUACGGGCAGACUAGAGUGAUGUAGGGGAGACUGGAAUUCCUGGUGUAGCGGUGAAAUGCGCAGAUAUCAGGAGGAACACCCGUGGCGAAGGCGGCUCUCUGGAACGCAACUGACGCUGAGACGCGAAAGCGUGGGGAGCAAACAGG
rnacentral:rRNA from 1 species